AUUGAACGCUGGCGGCAGGCCUAACACAUGCAAGUCGAGCGGAUGAAGGGAGCUUGCUCCUGGAUUCAGCUGCGGACGGGUGAGUAAUGCCUAGGAAUCUGCCUGGUAGUGGGGGAUAACGUCCGGAAACGGGCGCUAAUACCGCAUACGUCCUGAGGGAGAAAGUGGGGAUCUUAUGACCUCACGUCAUCAUAUUAACCCUGGUCGGAUUAGCUUGUUGGUGGAGUAAAGGCCUAACAAGGCGACGAUACGUAACCGGUCUGAGAGGAGGAUCCGUCACACUGGAAAUGAGAAACGGUUCAGGCUACUACGGGAAGCAGCAGUGGGGAAUAUUGGACAAUGGGCCGAAGCCUGAUCCAGCCAUGCCGCGUGUGUGAAGAAGGUCUUCUGAUUGUAAAGCACUUUAAGUUGGGAGGAAGGGCAGUAAGUUAAUACCUUGCUGUUUUGACGUUACCAACAGAAUAAGCACCGGCUAACUUCGUG
rnacentral:rRNA from 1 species